GACGAACGCUGGCGGCGUGCUUAACACAUGCAAGUCGAACGGAAAGGCCCUGCUUUUGUGGUGUGCUCGAGUGGCGAACGGGUGAGUAACACGUGAGUAACCUGCCCUUGACUUUGGUAUAACUUCAGGAAACUGGGGCUAAUACCGGAUAGGAGCUCCUGCUGCAUGGUGGGGGUUGGAAAGUUUCGGCGGUUGGGGAUGGACUCGCGGCUUAUCAGCUUGUUGGUGGGGUAGUGGCUUACCAAGGCUUUGACGGGUAGCCGGCCUGAGAGGGUGACCGGCCACAUUGGGACUGAGAUAGGGCCCAGACUCCUACGGGAGGCAGCAGUGGGGAAUAUGGCACAAUGGGCGGAAGCCUGAUGCAGCAACGCCGCGUGCGGGAUGACGGCCUUCGGGUUGUAAACCGCUUUCGCCUGUGACGAAGCGGGAGUGACGGUAAUGGGUAAAGAAGCACCGGCUAACUACGUG
rnacentral:rRNA from 1 species